GAUGUAUAGCAAUAGCUAGUUGCAUCAUAGUAAAUAUGAUGCAAGAUUGACUAUGUUGAAUAAAAUUCUAGGUAUGAUUAUGAUAAUGACAUUGUCUGCCUAUAUGUCUUGACCAAAUUACGUGCCAGCAAUCGCGGUAAUACGUAGAAGACUAGUGUUAUUCAUGUUUAAUCGGUUUAAAGGGUACCUAGACGGCAGAUCAAGCUUUCCGAGCAGAAAAAAGUAAAAAGGACUAAUUUGCUAGAGUUACUUACGGUGGGGUUUUAAAGUACUGCUGGUGUAGAGAUGAAAUCCUAUUAUACCUAAGUUCGAGAGAAUAAUAAUGGCACAGGUAUAGGCGAAGGCAUCCCCUUAUGUGAUAACUGACGUUGAGGGACGAAGGCUUUUAACAGCGAACGGGAUUAGAUACCCCAUUAGUGGAAGCAGUAAAUGAUGAAUGUCAUAGAUUAGCUAGAUAGGUUCAUUCUAUAAAUGAAAGUGUAAGCAUUCCACCUCAUGAGUAAUAUGGCAACAUUGGAAUUGAAAUCAUUAGACCGUUUCUGAAACCAGUAGUGAAGUAUGUUGUUUAAUUUGAUGAUCCGCAAAAAACCUUACCACAAUUUGAAUAUAUAUAUUUUUUUUAUUGUUUCGCUAUUAAUUUUCUUCUCUUUACACAAACAAAUUUUAUACUAAAAGAGGAAAUAUAUUAAUAAAGAGGCAAUAAGAUAUAUUUACAAGCGCUGCACGGUUGUCUUCAGUUAAUGUCGCGAGAUUUUGGUUAGAUCCAUUAAUUAACGUAAC
rnacentral:rRNA from 1 species